UGACCGCUGGCGGCGUGCCUAAUACAUGCACGUCGAGCGAACGGACGAGAAGCUUGCUUCUCUGAUGUUAGCGGCGGACGGGUGAGUAACACGUGGAUAACCUACCUAUAAGACUGGGAUAACUUCGGGAAACCGGAGCUAAUACCGGAUAAUAUUUUGAACCGCAUGGUUCAAAAGUGAAAGACGGUCUUGCUGUCACUUAUAGAUGGAUCCGCGCUGCAUUAGCUAGUUGGUAAGGUAACGGCUUACCAAGGCAACGAUGCAUAGCCGACCUGAGAGGGUGAUCGGCCACACUGGAGCUGAGACACGGUCCAGACUCCUACGGGAGGCAGCAGUAGGGAAUCUUCCGCAAUGGGCGAAAGCCUGACGGAGCAACGCCGCGUGAGUGAUGAAGGUCUUCGGAUCGUAAAACUCUGUUAUUAGGGAAGAACAUAUGUGUAAGUAACUGUGCACAUCUUGACGGUACCUAAUCAGAAAGCCACGGCUAACUACGUG
rnacentral:rRNA from 1 species